UAUUCGUCCACUCUAAUUCUUCGUCAUGUCAUUAGGAUAUUGUCGUAGUCUCGCUUGUGGACCAGAUUAAUCUAAUUUCUUUUAUUAUCCUUGUGCUUGUGGCAAUUCCCAGCUCAGUGCACACGAGAAACGUAGAAGAACAGUC